rnacentral:rRNA from 1 species
GAUGAACGCUGGCGGCGUGCCUAAUACAUGCAAGUCGAGCGAACGGACGAGAAGCUUGCUUCUCUGAUGUUAGCGGCGGACGGGUGAGUAACACGUGGAUAACCUACCUAUAAGACUGGGAUAACUUCGGGAAACCGGAGCUAAUACCGGAUAAUAUUUUGAACCGCAUGGUUCAAAAGUGAAAGACGGUCUUGCUGUCACUUAUAGAUGGAUCCGCGCUGCAUUAGCUAGUUGGUAAGGUAACGGCUUACCAAGGCAACGAUGCAUAGCCGACCUGAGAGAGUGAUCGGCCACACUGGAACUGAGACACGGUCCAGACUCCUACGGGAAGCAGCAGUAGGGAAUCUACCGCAAUGGGCGAAAGCCUGACGGAGCAACGCCGCGUGAGUGAUGAAGGUCUUCGGAUCGUAAAGCUCUGUUAUUAGGGAAGAACAUAUGUGUAAGUAACUGUGCACAUCUUGACGGUACCUAAUCAGAAAGCCACGGCUAACUACGUG